rnacentral:rRNA from 1 species
UGGGGAAUAUUGGGGCAAUGGGGCGCAAGCCUGACCCAGCGACGCCGCGUGAGGGAAGAAGGUCUUCGGAUUGUAAACCUUUGUUGACAGGGACGAAUAAGGUGACGGUACCUGUCGAGGAAGCCACGGCUAACUACGUGCCAGCAGCCGCGGUAAUACGUAGGUGGCGAGCGUUAUCCGGAUUUACUGGGUGUAAAGGGCGUGUAGCCGGGUCUGCAAGUCAGAUGUGAAAUCCAUGGGCUUAACCCAUGAACUGCAUUUGAAACUGUGGAUCUUGAGUGCUGGAGGGGCAAUCGGAAUUCCUAGUGUAGCGGUGAAAUGCGUAGAUAUUAGGAGGAACACCAGUGGCGAAGGCGGAUUGCUGGACAGUAACUGACGGUGAGGCGCGAAAGUGUGGGGAGCAAACAGGAUUAGAUACCCUGGUAGU